rnacentral:lncRNA from 1 species
CACAAAGAGUACAAAGUCAAGGCCAUGCCCUGUGAGUGUUUGUGCGCACACCUUAGUGGGCUCAGAAAGCCGGCCUCCUUCAUCUCUGCCUUCCCUGCUCUGAGGCCCUCGCCCAUCUGUGCCUUUGCAUCGCUCAUAAACACAAAUCCUUCAUUUGACCAACAGGAGCUGCUGCUCUUCUGAGCUUGACACGGACACUGAUGCCACCUGCCCAGCAGGGUGGGGCAAACAUGCAGAUCAGGC